rfam:Desulfosporosinus acidiphilus SJ4, complete genome.
UGGGCAGUAUCAUUUGAACUGCACCUAAAUGGUAUCCAAAAAAUUUAAGUGAUUCUGCCUAGACCUGUUACAGGCAAGGACAGAGGG